AUUGAACGCUGGCGGCAUGCCUAACACAUGCAAGUCGAGCGGAUGAAGGGAGUUCGCUCCUGGCUUCAGUGGCGGACGGGUGAGUAAUGCCUAGGAAUCUGCCCUGUCGUGGGGGAUAACGUCCCGAAACGGGCGCUAAUACCGCAUACGUCCUGAGGGGGAAAGUGGGGGAUCUUCAGACCUCACGCUAUUAGAUGAGCCUAUGUCGGAUUAGCUAGUUGGUGGGGUAAAGGCUUACCAAGGCGACGAUCCGUAACUGGUCUGAGAGGAUGAUCAGUCACACUGGAACUGAGACACGGUCCAGACUCCUACGGGAGGCAGCAGUGGGGAAUAUUGGACAAUGGGCGAAAGCCUGAUCCAGCCAUGCCGCGUGAGUGAAGAAGGUCUUCGGAUUGUAAAGCGCUUUAAGUUGGGAAGAAGGGCUGUGUGUUAAUACCUUGCUGUUUUGACGUUACCGAAAGAAUAAGCACCGGCUAACUACGUG
rnacentral:rRNA from 1 species